rnacentral:tRNA from 1 species
AGAAAUGUAGCUCAGUGGUAGAGUGCUUGCUUAGCAGGUGUGAAGUCCUGGGUUCAAUUCCCAACACUG